CCUACGGGUGGCUGCAGUGGGGAAUUUUGGACAAUGGGGGAAACCCUGAUCCAGCCAUCCCGCGUGUAUGAUGAAGGCCUUCGGGUUGUAAAGUACUUUUGGCAGAGAAGAAAAGGUACCUCCUAAUACGAGGUACUGCUGACGGUAUCUGCAGAAUAAGCACCGGCUAACUACGUGCCAGCAGCCGCGGUAAUACGUAGGGUGCAAGCGUUAAUCGGAAUUACUGGGCGUAAAGCGUGUGUAGGCGGUUCGGAAAGAAAGAUGUGAAAUCCCAGGGCUCAACCUUGGAACUGCAUUUUUAACUGCCGAGCUAGAGUAUGUCAGAGGGGGGUAGAAUUCCACGUGUAGCAGUGAAAUGCGUAGAUAUGUGGAGGAAUACCGAUGGCGAAGGCAGCCCCCUGGGAUAAUACUGACGCUCAGACACGAAAGCGUGGGGAGCAAACAGGAUUAGAUACCCCAGUAGUC
rnacentral:rRNA from 1 species